rnacentral:lncRNA from 1 species
GAUUCUCCUCUACACCAUACUAGGUGUAUGAGCUUUGACCCCAGAGCUCUGGUCUAUGUGCUUUCUUGCUGUUGCUUUAUUAAAUCUUGCCCUCUACAUUUUGAGUUCGGUCUCAGUGUCUUCUUGGGUCCGCGGCUGAGUGAGGGUCUCCCUUCGGGGGUCUUUCAUUUGCACACCACACCUCCUCCUUGGUUCCCAAGCAAGGAACCUGGCCAGGGUGCAGCGAUCCUAUUCCACAAAGAAGCGGGUACCAAUCCUGAAGAAGGCAGUCACAGGAACAAAGGCGGAAUGUCUCCUGGAAAAGGAAGUGGACAGGCAUAACCUCGUCGUUCAGUGCUCCUGCUAUUUGUGGAGACCGAAAUUCGGAGUGGGCCGAGCCGGCCAGGCCAUUCACGCCCCCUUGUGUCCGGAGCGACUUUGGAGCGGAGCAGCAGGGAAGGUGGAGGUGCCUGUGCACCGAGGCGCGCAGACGCACAGGCAACCGAGACCCGGCGGGCUGCGGGUGUUGUCAGUGCGCAGGCGCUGAAGAUCCCCGGGAAUCCGCGCGCCGCUGUGAAGCCGCAGUGCGCAGGCGCGGAGCCUCCCCAAUGAGGGCACGCGUGACCAGGCUGUACACACAGCGGCUGGUCCUAGUCGGAGCCCCAAAGGCAAGCAUUUGGUUUCCGGUUCCGGGAGUAAGCAACCGCCGCAGAGGCGACUGUUUUGGAAGAGGCACUGGUGGAGGAGGAAGAGAAGAAGAGUGGAACGGGCCGGUCGCGCUAGUGGGAUCCUUCUCAUGGGUCCACGGGCCUAGAGCGGAGGAAGCUGCGGGCCUGGUGUCAAGCUGGCUUCUGUUCUGUCCCUGAAGCAUCUAUGGCUGAGUCCUGGCAGGACUGCCCAGCCCUGGGCCCUGGCUGGAAACGCCGAGAGUCCUUUCGAAAGUCAGGGGCCUCGUUUGGACGCUCAGACAUCUAUUACCAGAGGUAACGGGUGUGCUCUGGGCAAUGUUCAGUGGCGUUGGACCUUGUUAGUAAUUAGAGCAAAGGGGUGUGUUUAAAUCUAUGGAUGGAGUUAAAAUUGUGCACAUAGUCCUUAUUACAAGUUUUGUGUUUUCUUAAUCAUGUAUUCCUAAUAAAGUUGAUUUAAUUUGGUCAAAGUC